rnacentral:rRNA from 1 species
AUUGAACGCUGCGGCAGGCUUAACACAUGCAAGUCGAGCGAGCGGCGGACGGGUGCGUAAUGCUUAGGAAUCUGCCUCUUCGUGGGGGACAACAUCUCGAAAGGGAUGCUAAUACCGCAUACUAAUAGUUGAGCCUAAGUCGGAUUAGCUAGUUGGUGGGGUAAAGGCCUACCAAGGCGACGACCUGUAGCGGGUCUGAGAGGGUGAUCCGGCACAAUGGGACUGGGGCACGGCCCAGACUCCUACGGGAGGCAGCAGUGGGGAAUAUUGGACAAAGGGGGGAAAGCUUAUCCAGCCAAGCCGCGUGUGUGAAGAAGGCCUUAUGGUUGUAAAGCACCUUAAGCGGGGAGGCGUUACUCGCAGAAGAAGCACCGGCUAACUCUGUGCCAGCAGCCGCGGUAAUUC